rnacentral:lncRNA from 1 species
GUGUGCUCCUGGACCCUUCUGCUUUGUGUUUUUGGCAUCCUAGCGUCACAGGUGUUCCUGGCCCAUGGACCUGUCUCCAACACCAGGCUUCAAAAGGAGGCUGGCUGCCUCCUCGUCCCCAGUAGAAGCUGAAGAAACAUCCAGGAGCCCUUUUCUCUGCUCACCCUCUUCACCCCCUUCAUCUGAUCCAUCUUCACCAUCGUCUUCAUCCUCCUUUUUCUGUGCAAAGUCAUCUGCUUAUCAAAAUCAUGUGAAAUGUCAAAGAGAGGUGUCUGGGGUGUCCUCCACAUCCACCUCUUCAGCUAGACAGCCUCUCCCCACUCCUUCAUCCAGUACCAUCUCUGUGGCCUGCUGUCCUCGUGGAUCAAUGCAGUCCAGUGAAGAAGAUGGCCAGAAAGAGGAAAUGUAUGAUCCUUUCAGUCCGACUGAUGGGGAUAAAGAGAGAAGGGUGGCAGAUGAAGAGGGGGAGGGAGAGAAGUAUGACCCCUUUGAUCCCACUGGCUCUCCAGAAUCAGAUGUAGAUGAAGACAUUAAAAAAGAGGAGGAGAUUCACAAUCCUGAGGAGAAAGAAGAAGAACCUCCAGAUUCCACUGACACCUUUACAGACCAGCUGAGCCCCUGUCCAGCUCCCCAGCUGUCUCUGAGACGGAGACUGGGCAGCAGCACCCCCAAAGGCGAAGGGCAAAAAGAGAGCAGUGACUCUGACCAUUCUGAGAUAGAGGAGGGGGAAAUUGUUGGAGCUGUUGACAGAGACAGGGCUAAUAACAGACCUGAUGAAGAGCAACUCACCUCAAACUCUCCCAAAAUCUCUUUCUUUGCUUCUAAACCAGAGCGCAUUCUCCGUGUGCUCGAUGGAGAUGGAUUUGUAUCCGUGUGCACGGAGGGAAACUGGGAGGAUGACCAGGAGCUGGAGAACGAGCCUGUAGUUGGAGUGGAGGAUUUGAGAAGGAAGUUGGUCAGUAGGAGGAAGGAAAGAUAUCACUCAUUUCCUGCCUCGUCUCCCCUUUCUUCUCAGCCACCACUGCCUCCUUCUGUGCCUAAAGCUUCUGCAGUGUCCCCUCCACCCAUAUCUCCUGUAGAGCAAACUGGCAAGAGCCACAAGUCCUCCAAGAGCUCCAAGGAGCGUGACCAACAGAAAAGCAGAGAUAGGAAAGCUGGAGAAAAGGAAACCAGAAGGAAAAAGCGAAGGAAGGGCAAAGAGGGGGAUAGGGACAGGAGCAAAGAAAAGGAACAAGGACACAAGGCUGGGAAGGAGGUUAGAGCAAGGAGGAGCAGCAGAAGCAGCAGUCAAAAGAGAAAGAAACGACUACACAGCAGCCCCGAAGAUUCCCACAAGUCCUCUAGAAAGGGAGGGCAUUCUAGACUAUCCUUCUCCAGGCUGUCCGAGGAAAGACAUCGAGAUCAAGAAAGAGACAAAGACAGGAACAGAGACAGAGAAAGGGACAGAUACGGAUACCGAGACCGGGAUGGAGAUAAAGACCGAGAUAGAGAUAAAAACCGAGACAGAGACAGAGAUGGACAUCGUCAUCGCAGCAGUAGCCAUAGAAAAGAUGAAAGAGUGCAUGAUUCCAGUUCUAGAAAAAGAGAGGGGGAAAAGAAGGGCAUACGCCAUUCAAGCAGCAGAGAGCGAGGCCUCACGGAGAGGUCCAAAAGGAGCAGGGACAAGAGGGACAGCGACAGACAGCAUGAGAUGGAGCGCCGGCGAGAUGGGCGUCCUGUUGUGCCCCCAUCUAUCCAAGACCUCAACGGGUCCGAUCUCUUUGCUAUUAAGAGAACCAUCACAGUCACAACCACUACCACCACCACCACCGUACCUGGCUCCCCCAGACUGUCCACAGCAUCUCCCAGUCAUCCCACACAGGUCAGCGAGUCGCAUAAAAGGAAGAAAAGAAAAUGGCAUUCAGGUGGAGCUGCAGAGGAAGAGGGAAGCUGUCGCAGCUGGUCACAAUCGCUUUCACCACCCAGGUAUCAUGGCUAUGAGUCGGACCGCUACUCAGACAAAUUGGAGAUUGACAUGUUGUCUUUAGAUGGUGAAGCCUUGGAUUCAGAUUACCCCUCUAUGGAGGAUACGCCUCCGGCCACUUUGCCUCCAGAGCCUCCUGUCCCCAGCCCUAAAGCUAAAGCUACACCCAAGACCAGACGAAGUCACCCCAAAAAGAAGUCCCACGCAUUAAAGAAAUCAAAGCGGGCCAGAAAACUGGGCAAAGACAAAGACAGAGACAAGGGCGGCAGAAAGGAUCUGAGUCGCUCCGGCAAAUCCAAGAAAGAUGGUGGAAGUGGUCGAAAGGGUAAGCUUCAAUCCAAAGUGUCUGUUCUGGUGCGUGAGGGAGUGAGCAGCACCACAGGGGCCUCAGUUGGCUCCGGAAAGCUGAGCAUGGACCUGCUAGGCUCUGGAGGUACAGCUGGCGGGGGCGGGGGCUCAAUUGCAGUAGUCUUUUGCAGAGACAAUGAAAGCAGGUCACCUUUCCUUAAACCAUGUUCAGAGCCACUUUCUCUGGGUGGCCGCGGUAAAGACCUGAGCAGUCUGGGAAAACGGAGCAGCCUGGCUGCACCACCGUCAGCCCUAGCCAGCCCUGCAGGGCUCAAAUCCAAGAAAACAAAAACCAGCUCCAUCACAUCCACCUCCUCCUCUGCAUCUUCACCCUCGUCAUCUCUAGCAACCAAGCGCCGCCGUCGCCUGGUCAAGAAGACCAGCAAAAAAGAUGGAGGUGUUGGAUUGGCUGCAGCAGAUGGUAACCAAUCCAAAGCCUCGUCUGAAGGCUGGGCCGGAGCCUCUUUAGAUGUUCCAUCAGCUGGUUUAGAGGGGAGCAAGUCUGCUAAUCCUCACUGUGGCCAAACAGGUCCUCCACCCUGUUCUUCCUCCUCCUCUUCCACGUCCUCCUCCACCAGUGUCCUCCCACCCUCCUCUUCUCCACCGCACACACCUCCACCAUCUACUGCAACUCUGAGGGACACUAGAGAGUCUUCUCCAGACUCUCAGACUGUGGACAGUAGCUGUAAGACACCAGACCCAUCUUUCCUAGCUGAAGACUGUCCAACUCAGACCAGUCCCACCCCUCCUGCCUCCAGUCCGUCCAGCCUGUCCACCCCUCAGGGAGCAGGCCUCACCAAUGCCUUGUCUACACUGACUGCCAAGCCCCCUUUUCCAGAUGAUUCAUCCAAAUCUUUGGCUUCUCCUCCUUGCUCAUCGUCAUCAGCUGGCCUCACUUCUCUUUCUCUACCUCUGUCUUCAUCCGACCCCUCCUCCUCUUCUUCUGUAUCUUCUUCAUGUGCCAGCAAACCACCCCCUCCUCCUCCGCCGCCCCCUCCAGCAGCUUCCGCCCUUCCCUGGAGUCUGCAGACCGGAGUAGACUGCACAACUGGAGGCGUCCUAGCACGUGAGAAUAAAAUACUCCUUCUGUUCAAAUGAAAUUUGCUUUUGUAGAACUUCAGUCUUCUUUAACCAAACCAAGCAACGGCCCUUUUUGUAAAGACCCUGAGAGCAAAAGCACUCCGGAACAAAUAAAACUAUAGCUUAACUCAUUCACUGCCCGCCGUUAUCUGAUCAGAAAGCCUCUGACCAGCAGCAUCUUUGAUCCUUUUUACUGUUUUUUUUGAAGAGUCACAGAACAUUGUGCUCUGUGAUCAUGUUAACACCAAAACUACCAAAAGAAAGAGUCGGCUCACUCCUUGGGUCAGAGAGAAUCGUGUUUCUAGCUGUUCCAUGCUUUCACAGUCAUUUGUCGCAGUGUGAGCAGCAGCAGGUUUGCGCCUCACUUUAGGCAUGGCGGCGUCCCAAGCCGAGCUUCUAACUCAUGAGUUGUCCGUUUCCCGGUCACGUGACGUGUGACACACAUGGAUGAAAAUCAAAAUUAGAGCCGUUACGUUUACUCUGAAGGUGCGACCUCGUUCCCAAGCCCAUCCCUUUAAAAAACGUAGUAGACAUCUUUUAGAAGCGAGCGACCGGGUUUAGAAUGACGACUUUAGUCGUCAGUGGCAGUGAAUGAGUUAAUAAAUGGAUGGUAUCAGACAUGUUCAUAUCUGAGGCUCCCUGUUGGAUUCAUCCAAAUAAAGCAGGAGAAACAAAGGCUGUGUCUCAAUUCAGGGUCUGCUUCCUUCGAAGGACCCAGCCUACUCGGCCGACGUGGGCUGCGUCCUCCGUCGGCCGACUAGACCAGAUGUUAACGGCUGUGAAUUUGGACAGGCCUAGCCUUCAUGAAUUCCCGCCACUCCCUCGGCCAACGUUCCGUCGCCUAGCAACCGUGGAACCGCUGAGCAGAAGGGAGAAGGAACUUUAAACGAUGGAGCUGGAAGUUUUAUUUAGCUUUUUAAUCAUUUCCUUGACUGUUGGAGAGCUAAUUCAGAGAAAAUACUUGCGACAAGCUGAGCCUGAGCAAAGAUGUGAUAACAGUUUUUAAUACUUUCUAAGGGUCUUAAUUUGACCAAAACCCAUUUAUCACCUUUUAAGACUUUUCAGACCCAGCGGAUACCCUGUAAUAUUAAACAAUUCUCAAUUGUAAACAAAAAUAAAAUUCAAGAAUUUAUACAGAACUGAUUUUAUUUAGAUAUUUCUUUUAUAUGUACAUGUUUAAUCUUUCUUAACCAUUUUUUCUGUCAAAAUUCUCCCUUCUCUCCUGGGCCCUCUGCUGCUCUGCCUCCCUCUGCAGCCUCAUGUCCUCCCUGAUCAGCUCCAGAAGCUGGUCAUCGCUGUCACCUUCCCCUGGAUGCCCAUUUUCUCCAGAAUAGUCUUAACAAACAUGUAAGAAAA